rnacentral:misc_RNA from 1 species
UUUUUUUUUUUUUUUUAAUAAAAGAACACGAAAAUCACGCACAAAAUUCAGAUUCCAGAAACUCAGAAAUCCCAACUGCUUUUGUUCUACCUCUAAAUUUAGUGGAUCUGCUGCUAAAUUUGGAGUGGCACGAAUUAAUUAGGGUUUUUCUGUGAGAGAAAGUUUGCAUAGUUCACUAAAUCUCUCAAGAUGAUGAUCUCUAGGGGAUUGUUUGGAUGGUCCCCACCGCAUAUACAGCCGUUAACGCCCGUUUCUGAGGUCUCUGAGCCACCGGAGUCGCCUUCGCCGUAUAUGGAUACCAGUGGUGAGGCGGCUGCCGCAGCCGCUGCUGCGGCGCAGGCGGAGGAGGAGGAGGAGAUGGAGGAGCCUGAGGAACUUGAGCCGCCCCCUGCUGCUGUUCCGUUCACGCAGUUGUUGGCUUGUGCUGACCGGCUUGACUGGGGUAUCAUGAUCGUUGGUUCGAUUGCUGCUGCCGCCCAUGGCACUGCGCUUGUUGUUUUCUUGCACUAUUUUGCGAAGAUCGUUGAGGUUAUGCGGAUUGGUCCUGAUGGUCCUGCUAGACCUGAGGAGCGAUUUGAGAGGUUAAAAGAUGCUUGGACAGCUUCACCUUGAACUUAGUGGGGCAUUUAUGAGUACUUAAGACACUGCCAUGUUUAUUCACUUCAAUCGUUCUGCCUUCAUCCUAAGUGUGAUAUCUUCAUCAAUUUUCCUAUGCCUUUAUGGGAUGUAACCUAGCUAUCUUUAACCAUUGUUUAUAUAGCUGUGGGUGUUUUUGCAGCUGGUUGGAUUGAGGUAUCGUGCUGGAUUUUGACUGGGGAGCGUCAGACAGCUGUUAUUAGGUCCAACUAUGUUCACGUAUUACUUAAUCAGGACAUGAGCUUUUUUGACACCUAUGGGAACAAUGGGGACAUUGUAAGCCAAGUAUUGAGUGAUGUGCUGCUCAUUCAGUCUGCUCUUAGUGAGAAGGUCGGAAACUAUAUUCAUAACAUGGCAACAUUUAUUGGUGGUCUUGUUAUUGGAUUUAUCAACUGCUGGCAGAUUGCCCUUAUAACAUUAGCCACUGGUCCAUUCAUUGUUGCUGCUGGAGGCAUAUCAAAUAUAUUUCUUCACAGGCUUGCCGAGAGUAUUCAAGAUGCAUAUGCAGAAGCCGCUAGCGUUGCUGAACAGGCAGUCUCAUAUAUUAGGACCUUAUAUGCAUUUACAAAUGAAACAUUGGCCAAGUAUUCUUAUGCAACCUCAUUGCAAGCAACUCUGAGAUAUGGUAUUUUGAUUAGUCUUGUGCAAGGACUUGGACUUGGGUUUACAUAUGGGCUUGCAAUAUGUUCUUGUGCCUUACAACUAUGGGUAGGAAGGUUCCUGGUUACGCAUAAGCAAGCUCAUGGUGGUGAAAUAAUAACAGCAUUGUUUGCUGUAAUUUUGAGCGGCCUUGGGCUAAAUCAAGCAGCGACAAACUUCUAUUCAUUUGACCAAGGACGAAUUGCUGCUUAUAGACUUUAUGAGAUGAUAAGCCGAUCUUCCUCCACAGUUAAUCAAGAUGGAAACACCCUAGUGUUGGUGCAAGGAAAUAUCGAGUUUCGGAAUGUAUAUUUUAGCUAUCUAUCUCGUCCUGAUAUCCCCAUCUUGAGUGGAUUUUACCUCACUGUUCCUGCUAAAAAGGCUGUGGCACUUGUUGGCAGAAAUGGCUCCGGAAAAAGUAGUAUCAUCCCUCUCAUGGAGCGGUUUUAUGAUCCUACCUUAGGAGAAGUUCUUUUAGAUGGAGAGAAUAUUAAAAACCUGAAGUUGGAAUGGCUCAGAAGCCUAAUAGGACUAGUCACCCAGGAACCUGCCUUGCUGAGUUUGAGCAUAAAAGAUAAUAUUGCAUAUGGACGAGAUGCUACUUUGGAUCAGAUUGAAGAAGCAGCCAAAAUAGCACAUGCGCAUACAUUUAUCAGCUCACUUGAGAGGGGCUAUGAGACACAGGUGGGUAGAGCUGGUUUAGCAUUGACAGAGGAACAGAAAAUUAAACUUUCUAUUGCUAGAGCGGUGCUGUUGAAUCCAACAAUUCUUCUGCUUGAUGAGGUUACUGGUGGACUUGAUUUUGAAGCUGAGAGAACAGUUCAGGAGGCUCUAGAUCUCCUCAUGUUGGGACGGUCAACCAUAAUAAUUGCUCGACGACUUAGUCUUAUUAGGAAUGCUGAUUACAUAGCUGUAAUGGAGGAAGGUCAGCUUGUUGAAAUGGGUACACAUGAUGAACUAUUAAACCUGGAUGGUCUAUAUGCUGAGCUUCUCAAAUGUGAAGAAGCUGCAAAACUUCCAAGGAGGAUGCCAGCUAGAAAUUAUAGGGAGACUGCUGCUUUCCAAAUUGAAACGGAUUCUUCUGCCAGUCACAGCUUCCAAGAACCAUCGUCUCCUAAAAUGAUGAAAUCACCAUCUCUUCAGAGAGUUCCAGGUGUAGUUCGGCCUAUGGAUGGCACCUUUAACUCGCAAGAAUCACCAAAAUCUCUGAGUCCACCACCAGAGAAAAUGAUGGAAAAUGGUUGUCGCUUGGAUGCAGCUGAUAAAGAACCAUCAAUAAGGAGACAGGAUAGUUUUGAAAUGCGACUACCAGAGUUACCCAAGAUUGAUGUCCAGUCUGCAAAUCGGCAAACAUCAAAUGGGUCAGAUCCUGAAUCACCUGUAUCGCCCCUUUUGACUUCUGAUCCUAAAAAUGAACGUUCCCACUCACAGACUUUUAGUCGGCCUCAUAGUCACUCGGAUGAUAUUCCAACUACAUGUAAGGAUGCAAAGGAUACAAAGCAUCGGGAAGCACCAUCUUUUUGGAGGCUGGCAGAACUUAGCUUUGCAGAGUGGCUUUAUGCUGUUUUAGGAAGCAUUGGAGCUGCUAUCUUUGGUUCUCUUAAUCCACUUCUUGCUUAUGUUAUUGCGCUGAUAGUGACCGCUUAUUAUAGGCCUGAACAUCCUCACUUGCGGCAGGAUGUAAACAAGUGGUGCUUGAUCAUUGCCUGCAUGGGUGUGGUGACAGUUGUUGCAAAUUUUUUGCAGCACUUCUAUUUUGGUAUUAUGGGUGAAAAAAUGACUGAACGAAUCCGGAGAAUGAUGUUUUCAGCAAUGCUGCGCAAUGAAGUUGGUUGGUUUGAUAAAGAGGAGAAUAGUGCCGACACAUUGUCCAUGCGGUUGGCUAAUGAUGCUACAUUUGUGCGAGCAGCAUUUAGCAACCGGCUUUCAAUAUUUAUACAGGACAGUGCUGCUGUUGUUGUUGCUAUAAUCAUUGGAAUGCUGCUUCAAUGGCGAUUAGCUCUCGUGGCAUUGGCAACCUUGCCAAUUCUCAUGGUUUCUGCAAUUGCACAGAAAUUGUGGCUUGCUGGAUUUUCAAGGGGCAUCCAGGAGAUGCACAGGAAGGCAUCAUUGGUCCUUGAGGAUGCUGUUAGAAACAUUUACACUGUUGUAGCAUUCUGUGCUGGUAACAAAGUAAUGGAGCUCUACAGAUUGCAACUGAAGAAAAUAUUCAGAGAGAGUUUUUUACACGGAAUGGCUAUUGGUUUUGCAUUUGGCUUUUCACAGUUUCUUCUAUUUGCCUGUAAUGCACUUCUUCUCUGGUACACUGCUUAUUCUGUAAAGAAUCAUUAUAUGGAUCUGCCUACAGCCAUCAAGGAGUACAUGGUUUUCUCAUUUGCAACAUUUGCACUAGUUGAGCCUUUUGGAUUGGCUCCAUACAUUCUUAAACGGCGGAAAUCUCUCAUUUCAGUAUUUGAAAUUAUAGAUCGAGUGCCCAAAAUUGAUCCAGAUGAUAACUCAGCACUGAAACCACCUAAUGUCUAUGGGAGCAUCGAGUUGAAAAAUAUCGAUUUCUGUUAUCCUACUCGCCCAGAAGUGUUGGUAUUGAGCAAUUUCAGUCUCAAAGUUAAUGGUGGUCAAACUGUAGCUGUGGUAGGAGUUUCAGGUUCUGGAAAGAGCACUAUAAUCUCUUUAAUUGAGAGAUUUUAUGAUCCAGUUGCUGGUCAGGUUCUGCUUGAUGGGCGAGAUUUGAAACUUUAUAAUUUGAGAUGGUUAAGAAGCCACCUUGGUGUGGUUCAGCAGGAACCAAUUAUCUUCUCAACAACCAUAAAAGAAAACAUUAUAUAUGCUAGACACAACGCUAGCGAAGCUGAGAUGAAAGAGGCUGCAAGAAUAGCAAAUGCUCACCAUUUCAUCAGCAGCCUGCCUCAUGGUUAUGACACACAUGUGGGAAUGAGGGGUGUAGACCUGACACCAGGACAGAAGCAGAGAAUUGCAAUUGCUCGAGUGGUGCUGAAGAAUGCACCCAUCUUGUUAUUGGAUGAAGCUAGCUCGUCCAUUGAAUCUGAAUCUAGUAGAGUGGUGCAAGAGGCACUAGAUACACUAAUUAUGGGAAACAAAACAACCAUUCUGAUAGCACAUAGGGCUGCAAUGAUGAGGCAUGUUGACAAUAUCGUGGUUCUAAAUGGAGGACGAAUAGUUGAGGAAGGGACCCAUGAUUCUUUGAUGGUGAAGAACGGCUUGUAUGUCAGGCUGAUGCAACCCCACUUUGGAAAGGGUUUACGACAGCAUCGACUUGUUUAGGUUGGUUGACAUUUGGGCAUAGUUCUUUUGUAUAGCUCUUAUUGGCCAUUUUUAUAUUGCUGGAACUUGUUGGCAAUAUGGAAGAAUACAUUCCGGAGUGGGGAAGUACAAACAAGAAUUCUGAGGCUUGUAACAAUUUUUGCAUGGUUGGAUGGGCGGGUUGCAGUGGUGACAGUGACAGUUAUAGUGUUCGAAUGUAGGGUUUAGGAAUAGGGAUUUUGGAGCUUGGUUGGCCAUUGAGGACAUGCUCUCGGGGCUAGAUGCGUAUUCUUUUUGGAGGCAAGGAUUAGGUUGUUGCCUUGUCUCCUUGGUAUAUUGAUUUGUUCAUUAAAAAAAAAUUGGGUUGGGGUGGAGAUAAUUCUGGCCCUAAUGAGCUGUGCUUCUUGGGUUUUGUUUUUAGACUUCCUAGAUUUUUUUUCCCCUUGUUUUCAUAUGGAUUAAUGUGACUCUGGCUAGCAUGGAUGAUGGAUGACUAGCAUGGAUGAUGGAUGUGUUUCAUACUGUAAAUUUACAUUUGUGAAAACUAUAGAAAAUUUAGAAGAGGAAAAGAGGUGGAGGGCAUUUGUUGUAAUCUUCCUUUGUAAAUAACCACUUGGAUAAUUUAUCAGCAUUUUAACCUUUUCCGGCAUAAUUAACUAGUUCAAUUUUUAUCCCAUUUUGCUUUUAAUGUGUCAGAUUAGUGCCCCUUUUGUAAUGCCUGAUGAGGGAUAUGAACAUCUUCUAUCUGUUCUUGAAGUAGG